rnacentral:rRNA from 1 species
GACGAAGGUGGCAAGCGUUGUUCGGAAUCACUGGGCUUAAAGAGCACGUAGGCGGUCUGCUAAGUGCCUUGUGAAAUCCCUCGGCUCAACCGAGGAAUUGCUUGGCAUACUGGCGGACUUGAGGCAGGUAAGGGUGGGUGGAACUCUUGGUGGAGCGGUGAAAUGCGUAGAUAUCAAGAGGAACGCCGGCGGUGAAGACGACCCACUAGGCCUGUCCUGACGCUGAGGUGCGAAAGCCAGGGGAGCAAACGGG